GAUGAACGCUGGCGGCGUGCCUAAUACAUGCAAGUCGAGCGAACAGACGAGGAGCUUGCUCCUCUGACGUUAGCGGCGGACGGGUGAGUAACACGUGGAUAACCUACCUAUAAGACUGGGAUAACUUCGGGAAACCGGAGCUAAUACCGGAUAAUAUAUUGAACCGCAUGGUUCAAUAGUGAAAGACGGUUUUGCUGUCACUUAUAGAUGGAUCCGCGCCGCAUUAGCUAGUUGGUAAGGUAACGGCUUACCAAGGCAACGAUGCGUAGCCGACCUGAGAGGGUGAUCGGCCACACUGGAACUGAGACGCGGUCCAGACUCCUACGGGAGGCAGCAGUAGGGAAUCUUCCGCAAUGGGCGAAAGCUUGACGGAGCAACGCCGCGUGAGUGAUGAAGGUCUUCGGUUCGUAAAACUCUGUUAUUAGGGAAGAACAAAUGUGUAAGUAACUAUGCACGUCUUGACGGUACCUAAUCAGAAAGCCACGGCUAACUACGUG
rnacentral:rRNA from 1 species